UAUCGUAUUUUUGAUGCCGCAGAUGAUC
rnacentral:piRNA from 1 species